rnacentral:rRNA from 1 species
AUUGAACGCUGGCGGCAUGCCUUACACAUGCAAGUCGAACGGCAGCACGGGGGCAACCCUGGUGGCGAGUGGCGAACGGGUGAGUAAUGCAUCGGAACGUGCCCAGUUGUGGGGGAUAGCCCGGCGAAAGCCGGAUUAAUACCGCAUACGACCUGAGGGUGAAAGCGGGGGACCGUAAGGCCUCGCGCAAUUGGAGCGGCCGAUGUCGGAUUAGCUAGUUGGUGGGGUAAAGGCUUACCAAGGCGACGAUCCGUAGCUGGUCUGAGAGGACGACCAGCCAACCUGGGACUGAGACACGGCCCAGACUCCUACGGGAGGCAGCAGUGGGGAAUUUUGGACAAUGGGCGCAAGCCUGAUCCAGCCAUGCCGCGUGCGGGAAGAAGGCCUUCGGGUUAUAAAGCUCUUUCGUCCGGGAAGAAAUCGCAUUGGUUAAUACCUGAUGUGGAUGACGGUACCGGAAUAAGAAGCACCGGCUAACUACGUGCCAGCAGCCGCCGUAAUAC